CCUCCUUCCUAACCUUUAAGUGUUUGUCUCUAAACUAUGGGACUGAAUGUUUUGAGUAGAGAUCAGAGCUGGAACAGAUGGUUUUCAUCCUGCAGAGCAGAGCAGGAGAACAACAGCGACCCAAAGAAGUUUAAGAUAGCUGCUUGGC